rnacentral:lncRNA from 1 species
UAAUAAUAAUAAUUAAGGUAAGUGUAACGUACAUUUGCAUUUUGCAACAGAAACAGCUUCUUAUAGAGUAUUGUUUUACAGGCUAAUCUUUUUUUAUGUAAUGUAUUCAAAUGUAAUUAUAAUUAGGAUUGGGAUAAUACAAAAAUAUACUUUUUGCUUAGUGAUAUCUAUUACAUUGUGACAGAAUUUGGUUUCUCAAUAAUUCUCAUCCUGAGUGCCAAACUGAUCAACUGCAUCCUAAUGGAACGUUCAAGAUGUGAUUCAGUAACUGAUACGGUUGUUGCAAUAAUUAUUUUUGACCAAAUUGAAUCCACAAAAUAAUUGAAGAAAUGGUUUCAGAUGAUUACGAACAAGCGCAGCUAUCUUUGGAGAGGUAAUGCACCUACUGAUAUCCCGUGAUAAGAACUUGGGAGAGAUUUAGUGAAAACCUGGAGAACGGCCACUUAGCUCACAAAUCUGAGCUGUUCACAUCAAGCUGAUAUUUGUGACAGCCAUUAUAGCUUUAAUCAUUUUCUCGAUUGAUCAAAGCACCACAGACUGCAUCGUUCGUCACCUCUGCCUUUAAGCGCGUUAUCACCUACUCCAAUAAGCCACCCCAAUAUCCUUAAUAAGCAAUAGAAGUUCUUAUCGACUGUGUAUGACUCAUUAAUAUCCAUGUUCUGUAUAAAUUUAUGUGAUAGGCCUACUGGUAUUAAUGUUGAUGUACCGUAAUGUUUUUUGCUCAUGUAUAAUUGAUAAUAAUACAUUAAAAAUAAAUAUAAUGUUAAAUUAUUA